UAACUAUCCGAAAGGAUAGCUAAUACCGCAUACGACCUGAGGGUGAAAGCGGGGGACCGAAAGGCCUCGCGCGAUUGGAGCGGCCGAUAUCGGAUUAGCUAGUUGGUGAGGUAAAGGCUCACCAAGGCGACGAUCCGUAGCUGGUCUGAGAGGACGACCAGCCACACUGGAACUGAGACACGGUCCAGACUCCUACGGGAGGCAGCAGUGGGGAAUUUUGGACAAUGGGGGCAACCCUGAUCCAGCCAUUCCGCGUGAGUGAAGAAGGCCUUCGGGUUGUAAAGCUCUUUCGGCAGGAACGAAACGGUGGUCCCUAAUACGGGCUACUAAUGACGGUACCUGAAGAAGAAGCACCGGCUAACUACGUGCCAGCAGCCGCGGUAAUACGUAGGGUGCGAGCGUUAAUCGGAAUUACUGGGCGUAAAGCGUGCGCAGGCGGUUCCAUAAGACAGAUGUGAAAUCCCCGGGCUUAACCUGGGAACUGCGUUUGUGACUGUGGGACUGGAGUGUGGCAGAGGGGGGUGGAAUUCCACGUGUAGCAGUGAAAUGCGUAGAGAUGUGGAGGAACACCGAUGGCGAAGG
rnacentral:rRNA from 1 species